AUUUUUGCAAAACGUCUUCUCGAACUUUCCCGAACCGCGCUCGGGUUAUCAGGACUGCGGAUACUCUUCUUGGUCAUCACUGAGGUUCCAGAACACAGCUGAUGCUCAUUAAAUACCUGCAAAAAGGAUGUGCUCUGGCUCACAUCUCCCCAGAGAUGAGGGAGGGGCUGGUUAGCGGGAUUGCUGAUGCCACUGAACUGCACACAUCCCCAGAAGGAAGGGGUUCUCCAAAGCUGGUAAAGCCGAGAGGCCGCUAAGCCUACAUGCCCAGCAGCAGACAGUCCAUCCUCCUGUCUGUACUGCAAGCCCACCGUGUGCCAGGACCGUGCAGAGCACCUGAGUGCCUCUGAUCUCCCAAUGGACCCCGCAAUGAUCAGGCAAGAGAGCAAAAUGUCAACAGUCCCACACAGUGGGGCAACUUUACCAAGUUCAGGGUGUUUAAAUAGAAGCUGU